rnacentral:rRNA from 1 species
UACGGAGGGGGCUAGCGUUGUUCGGAAUUACUGGGCGUAAAGCGCACGUAGGCGGCUUUGUAAGUUAGAGGUGAAAGCCCGGAGCUCAACUCCGGAAUUGCCUUUAAGACUGCAUCGCUUGAAUCCGGGAGAGGUGAGUGGAAUUCCGAGUGUAGAGGUGAAAUUCGUAGAUAUUCGGAAGAACACCAGUGGCGAAGGCGGCUCACUGGCCCGAUACUGACGCUGAGGCACGAAAGCGUGGGGAGCAAACAGG